rnacentral:rRNA from 1 species
UAGGGAAUCUUCCACAAUGGACGCAAGUCUGAUGGAGCAACGCCGCGUGAGUGAAGAAGGUCUUCGGAUCGUAAAACUCUGUUGUUAGAGAAGAACACGAGUGAGAGUAACUGUUCAUUCGAUGACGGUAUCUAACCAGCAAGUCACGGCUAACUACGUGCCAGCAGCCGCGGUAAUACGUAGGUGGCAAGCGUUGUCCGGAUUUAUUGGGCGUAAAGGGAACGCAGGCGGUCUUUUAAGUCUGAUGUGAAAGCCUUCGGCUUAACCGGAGUAGCGCAUUGGAAACUGGAAGACUUGAGUGCAGAAGAGGAGAGUGGAACUCCAUGUGUAGCGGUGAAAUGCGUAGAUAUAUGGAAGAACACCAGUGGCGAAAGCGGCUCUCUGGUCUGUAACUGACGCUGAGGUUCGAAAGCGUGGGUAGCAAACAGGAUUAGAUACCCUGGUAGUCCACGCCGUAAACGAUGAAUGCUAGGUGUUGGAGGGUUUCCACCCUUCAGUGCCGCAGCUAACGCAAUAAGCAUUCCGCCUGGGGAGUACGACCGCAAGGUUG